rfam:Trichobilharzia regenti genome assembly, scaffold: TRE_scaffold0027391
GUACUGCUGAAGAGUCCCAAAGUAGGCUGACGAAACAGCUGUCCAGUAC